rnacentral:lncRNA from 1 species
UUCAGUAAUGAUGAUACUGAUAACUGACCACUGCUGCUUCCAUGAGUGUUCAUGGUCAUUUCAGGCAUGUUGUUGCACCCAUGUUGCUUUCUAUCCACAUAUAUAAUGUUUCUAGCUAAUGUGUAAGCAAAGAUCUAUUACUAAUAGUACUCAUUUUUCUGUUGUCAUAGCAUCAGUGUGAUCUCCUCAUUGAACGAGGCUCUGCAAAGAGAAAGCCACACAUCUUCAACUUUAAACCAAGAGAUAACUGAGAGAAAUAAAUGCUCCAAAUGGCAGAGUGUGUUCUGAUAAGCACUUGGGAGACCAGUCUUAGAAGGAGACUGGAACAGAGAUUAGACUGAGAAGAAUGGGAAAUAAUUGCUCAAGGCGUUGGUGUAUUUUCUGAAUGUACUCGUACGUCAUCAGAAUUAGAGGAAAAUUGCUGGAAUCGCAUGUGUUGCAGACGUCUGGCAGAAAUCACCAAGAGCUGUGGGGGUGUUACAUCUGUUCAUGGCUGAGGAUGGCCUCCAGAAGUACAUUUUUAUGUGCUUUCUCAAAGUCAUUCAGAGUGAUACCCGCUUCUUUAGACUCCUUUCAGAGGAUCCCAGGACCUGCUGCUUUAACUGGAGCCCUCAGCGAUGGUGGUUUUCUGCCACUCAGCAGAAACGUACCUAUUCUGACACUGAAUUCUGCUGUAAGCUAUAUAAUAGAUCUCUGCCACGUUAGAAGUCUAAUUCCAAUAUUGACUUGGAAUGUAGAUUAAUAACAUAUUCAGUAUAAAUUUCUCUGUAUGUAUAUUACUCAUCUCUUCAUUUUCAUUUUUACAGUGACAGAAAUUUCUCCCGAAGCUGAUAGGACUCAGAAGAGGUAACCUUCCGAGUGCUGCAAUGGCAAAGCAUUCCUGCCUUCCAUGACCAAAUCCAAGAACAACAAAAAGUGCCAAAAAAUGCUCUUGUAAGGUAUGCUUGAACCUUAGCAGGACUCUAAGAAACAUUCCCAGUAAAGAACAUAAUGGAU